UUAACUAUUAUAUAGUACUCAGACAGCAAUAAUUCAAGGGUUUGGGUCCUCUGGCCCGCCCGAGGGCCGGCCAAAGCAACUGAAGUUUGGUACACAAAGGGUGAGAAUGGGACCGUGAGGUCGCCGAUUCUGUAAUGAUCCUUCCGCAGGUUCACCUAAAAAGAAUGAUGUUAGUAUUUGGUUGCGAGGUCUGAAAGACGAGGGGGGCAAAAAGAAAGGAUGUUUUGACUCACCUACGGAAA
rnacentral:misc_RNA from 1 species